GACGACCUAGGAGUCAUUUCCUAGCAUUAUACUGCAUUUCUAAAUUGCAAUCAAAUUUGAUUGGGCGGCGACACCCAUCAAAUUUUGGCGCCGUUGCCUGGGACCAACAGUUCGGUUUUAGGUCUUUUGUUGUGUUUGUGUGUGUUGUGUCUUGUCUUGUGUUGUGUGAUGUUCUGUUUUGUGUGUUCUUCAUUGUGUGUUGCAUUUAGAUAGCCUUAGUUGCAUAUUUUCAUUGCAUUCUUCUUUCCCCCUUUUUUCUUUCUACAUGUCCACCUAUCUUGAUUUCGUGAAUACUGCUUCUUCUGUCUAUUUCUAUGAUUAUGAUUCUCCUUCUGC
rnacentral:lncRNA from 1 species